AGAUCGCGAACGUGAACUCAAUCCAGUGACAAUUGGGUCGGCUUGGAGUUUCCGAUGAGAAAAAUCUCUCACCUUAUCCAAUCCAAUCCAAUCGUACAGGGCGAUUUUGGGCGAGCUGUGUGACAGCUGUGGUAGGUUUGCCAUUAUUUGCGGGUAAGGCUAGCCCUCACCAGUGCCCGCCCGCAGCAACUUCUCUUUUUCUUCAAUUCUUCUCGCGAAAGGGCUCAGAUUUGGGAUAGAGAGUACUCAGCCAGAUAUGGAAGAAAAAAAAAGCUUCGAUCAGAUACAUUUUCUUCUACACGUUGAAGGACCUUAUGUCUACCAACUAUCUGAACCAGGGAUACAAGCAUCAUAAAAGAGAUCUCUUCAGAGUAAUCCAUAUGAUGGAAGACUGGCAAAACUCAAAUGCAUAGUUGCACUGAAAGAUAUGCGAGGAAGGCCCAAAAGACGAUAUAUCAAGCCUCACGUGAAGAUCAAUCAGUGGGAUCAAACAUCUUCUGGCAGGCUACCAGAUUUUUAAUGCAGUCCUAUGGAAAGAUGCAAGGUAAUACCUGACUCACAAGUGUCCGGUGGAGCUAAAUUUUGAAGAUUUAAUCAAGCAAUAGUGAAAAGAGCAGCUUUGCACAUCGGCCUAAAAGAAACCUUCAUUGGUAUCAGCAUGAUUCUGAUUUUCAAAUGACACCACUUCCAACACGUCCGGCAUUGAGAAGCUUUCCAGCACAGCUCGAAUCACCCAAAAAGAAGUUGGAUGAGAGAGAUAUGGUUGAUUGAAAGAAGUUGGAUGAGAGAGAUAUGACUGAGUUAUGAACUCGCAAUAGGUUAUUUCCAGACCUGCUGUAGAAGACAUGUAUAGCCCAUGUUGCUUUUGAAGAAAUGCGGUUCAAGAGUUUGAUUCAAGAGAUGGUUUUGUGAUUGAUGGUUCAGUGAAGAUGCACUGUAAUACCUGAACAACAAUCCACUGGUUUGUGUGCAAAGCAUAUAGCAGUUGACUGUUAGUUUGAUCAAGUGGGCUCAUAACAUAUCUUCGACAUUUUCUUCAUAAAAUUGUAUGCCAAGCUGAGAGUGGAUGAUAAGCACCAAAACGAGGAGAGUUUGCAGGAACUAAUAGAGAAAUGCAUGCACAAGUCAUUUGCCCACUUCAGCUGGACUCCCUGUUGCAUUGUAAGGUGAAAUUGAGGCAGAUGUCUGAAAUUCUUGGUAUGCUAGUGGAUCUGUAACAUUUACCUAAUUAUACUAAUAUUAAACUGGCUCAUUAAAAUAUAACUAAAUCUGGAAUUGAAAGUCAGAAAAGAUGAGAUUCUUAAAUGGAUUUGAGUAUGAACAUAAUCAUAUCCAGACUCAAUUGUCUAAUGACCAGAUCUAUCAUUCAAUGUAUUUGUAUAAAUAUCAUUUAUUCAUUCUUAAAUAGAAAGAAUCAGGUUAAGAAAAUUAAUGUGAGAGUUGUAGAAAUGAUGCUGGUAACUAGUUUGUAUGAGGUGUGAACUGCUUGGCAUUAUAAGAAAAAGGUAGAAUCUGUACAUGCAAGCCUUGUAAAUUCAAUAGAUACAAUAGCAUAUUUUUAUUUCUUUUGAAA